rnacentral:misc_RNA from 1 species
GAUGAAGAACGUAGUGAAAUGCGAUAAGUAAUGUGAAUUGCAGAAUUCAGUGAAUCAUCGAAUCUUUGAACGCACAUUGCGCCCGCCAGUAUUCUGGCGGGCAUGCCUGUUCGAGCGUCAUUUCAACCCUCAAGCCCCCGGGCUUGGUGUUGGGGAUCGGCGUGCCCUCGCGGCGCGCCGUCCCCUAAAUCUAGUGGCGGUCUCGCUGUAGCUUCCUCUGCGUAGUAGCAACACUCGCACUGGAUCGCAGCGCGGCCACGCCGUUAAACCCCCCACUUCUGAAAGUUUGACCUCGGUUCAGGUAGGAAUACCCGCUGAACUUAAGCAUAUCAAUAAGCGGAGGA